GUUCAGAGUGGAAUGCUUAACUCUAGUGGUAUCCAUAUUAAAUGCUAUGCAUAGGGAUUGUUUUAUAUUCAUAUUAUCCAGUUAUAUUUGUUUCUGAAAUUCUAUAUUAUGUAUUUAUAUGUGUUUCUGAAAUUCUAUCUUAAUUGUAGUUUGGUUUCUUUUGAACUGCCUUAUAUGUGAACUUGGGUGCAUGUCUGACUCUGUGUUUGAUCCUUCACUGUUUGUAUUUUGAAAUUUCCUCCACUGCUCACAUGGGAUUGGUUUUUUGGUUUCUUACAUUAAUCAAAGGUUGGAAUGCUUGAUCCACCAA
rnacentral:misc_RNA from 1 species